AAGAAGAAGAAGAAGAUGCUUUAUUUCCAUAAAAUGGGCUCACAAGGAGCAUAAUAUAAUAUCAUUGUAAUAUAAUAUUCUUUUACAAAUAUAAUAAACAACACAAGUUACAAACACAAAUAAGAAACAACAGUUAUCACAUAUUAGUAUAUAUAUAAAACCUUUGUCUCAGGCACACCUCUGGAAAGUAACAAAAAAGAAUACUGUGAGUAGGCUAAAUAUAUCUAGCUGAACUGCAAGAGGCACCUAGGGACGGUGCUAUAUGGCAUGGUGGGUGCAUAUUAAAAUGUGUUUCGGGACAUUAAUGAUAUGGUAAGAUAUUGUAAGAAGUUGCACAUAAAUGGUAUGUCAUCCUCGUGCCUGGUGCAGAGGAGUCAGUACUAUUUAAAGUGACACAACUGCAAGAGGCACCAAGGGACAAUGCUAAUUGACAUGCCAAAGUGCACAAAUUACAAAAAAGAUAAAAUAUUACCAGUUUAAUAAAAAAAAUAAUAAUAUCGCAAACAAGAAGGUAAUAGAACUUGUACGAUGUGUCCUGUACCCCACCAUGCCAA
rnacentral:lncRNA from 1 species